rnacentral:rRNA from 1 species
UUGGAGGGCAAGUCUGGUGCCAGCAGCCGCGGUAAUUCCAGCUCCAAUAGCGUAUAUUAAAGUUGUUGCAGUUAAAAAGCUCGUAGUUGAAUUUCGGAGUUUGUCGGUUGGUCGGGCUUCACUGUCCGCACUGACCUGAUGGAUUCCUACCUUCUGAAUAACCAGCAUGCUAUUAAGUUAGUGCGUUGGGGAAGCAGAGCUAUUACCUUGAAAAAAUUAGAGUGCUUAAAGCAGGCUUAUGCUUGAAUAGAUUAGCAUGGAAUAAUAAAAUAGGACGGCAUGGUUCUAUUUCGUUGGUUUCUAGGAUCACCGUAAUGAUUAAUAGGGAUAGUUGGGGGCAUUAGUAUUCAAUUGUCAGAGGUGAAAUUCUUGGAUUUAUUGAAGACUAACUUCUGCGAAAGCAUUUGCCAAGGAUGUUUUCAUUAAUCAAGAACGAAAGUUAGGGGAUCGAAGACGAUCAGAUACCGUCGUAGUCUUAACCAUAAACUAUGCCGACUAGGGAUCGGACGAUGUUAAUUUUUUAAUGACUCGUUCGGCGCCUUACGGGAAAC